rnacentral:rRNA from 1 species
UACGGGGGGGGCAAGCGUUGUUCGGAAUUAUUGGGCGUAAAGCGCGCGCAGGCGGUCCUUUAAGUCUGAUGUGAAAGCCCACGGCUCAACCGUGGAGGGUCAUUGGAAACUGGGGGACUUGAGUGCAGAAGAGGAAAGCGGAAUUCCACGUGUAGCGGUGAAAUGCGUAGAGAUGUGGAGGAACACCAGUGGCGAAGGCGGCUUUCUGGUCUGUAACUGACGCUGAGGCGCGAAAGCGUGGGGAGCAAACAGG